rnacentral:rRNA from 1 species
UACGGAGGGUGCAAGCGUUGUCCGGAAUCACUGGGCGUAAAGGGCGCGUAGGCGGCCUGGUAAGUAGGGGGUGAAAUCCUGCGGCUUAACCGCAGGGCUGCCUUCUAAACUGUCAGGCUUGAGCACGGUAGAGGCAGAUGGAAUUCCCGGUGUAGCGGUGGAAUGCGUAGAGAUCGGGAAGAACAUCAGUGGCGGAAGGCGGUCUGCUGGGCCGUUGCUGACGCUGAGGCGCGAAAGCUAGGGGAGCAAACGGG